AUUUGUUUCGGGGGGGAUUGGACUUGGAGUGUGCUGGCGAAGGUCGGCUCCUCUUUAAAUGCAUCAGUGGAGAAGAAACUCGCCCCAGUGUGAUAAUCCUGUUGCGCUGUGGUGGGUGAAAGUCUGCUUCCAACCGUCCUCCGGGACAGACAUCAUCUCAAUUUGACCUCAAAUCAGGUAGGACUACCCGCUGAACUUAA
rnacentral:misc_RNA from 1 species